rnacentral:pre_miRNA from 1 species
CAAAUACUCCCUCCGUCCGGAAAUACUUGUCCUAAAGAUGAAUGUAUCUAGACUUAUUUUAGUUAUAGAUACAUCAUUACAUCCAUUUUUAGGACAAGUAUUUCCGGACGGAGGUAGUACCAA